rnacentral:rRNA from 1 species
CCUACGGGCGGCAGCAGUGAGGAAUAUUGGUCAAUGGACGAGAGUCUGAACCAGCCAAGUAGCGUGAAGGAUGACUGCCCUAUGGGUUGUAAACUUCUUUUAUAUGGGAAUAAAAUGUUCCACGUGUGGGAUUUUGUAUGUACCAUAUGAAUAAGGAUCGGCUAACUCCGUGCCAGCAGCCGCGGUAAUACGGAGGAUCCGAGCGUUAUCCGGAUUUAUUGGGUUUAAAGGGAGCGUAGGUGGAUUGUUAAGUCAGUUGUGAAAGUUUGCGGCUCAACCGUAAAAUUGCAGUUGAAACUGGCAGUCUUGAGUACAGUAGAGGUGGGCGGAAUUCGUAGUGUAGCGGUGAAAUGCUUAGAUAUCACGAAGAACUCCGAUUGCGAAGGCAGUUCACUGGACUGCAACUGACACUGAGGCUCGAAAGUGUGGGUAUCAAACAGGAUUAGAUACCCUUGUAGUC